UGUCUGGAACUUUGGAUUAAGAAUUGGUGGAAUACCAGGCAAUCCGAAACUCUCUUAACUGAUAUUCAAGAGAAAAGGAUUCUAGAAAGAUUCAUAGAAUUAGAAGAACUUUCUCUCUUGGACGAGAUGGUAAAAGGGAAACUAAAGACACAUGUACAAAAACCAAGGAGAAGGCAUUUCAACAAAUUAGAAGCAAUGAAAGCUAGACACCAUAUGAAAGAUGCAACAAAUAUCAUUCUACCAACUUAA
rnacentral:rRNA from 1 species